rnacentral:lncRNA from 1 species
CCGUCAAGAAUCGGUUAAUGAUUAACUUAAAUCUACAAAAAGCACAAUGAUUAACAUAGAUCUACAAAAAGCACAAACUAAUACAUGUAAACUGAAUUUAUAAGAAAUAAGGAAAGGAGUUGUCACAUCGGCCAUCCAGAUAUCAAUAGCAGGGUCUUCUCCCAUACGCAUGAGCUUCCACUUAUCGCUGAGCUACUGAGCUACCUAUAAGAAAUAUCGAUCAUUGGUCCACAUAAGUGCUUCAUUCAUUGUUAUGAGCGCCAAACCUAUUCAAAUAGCUUUAAUGGAAACUUACAUCUGCUGCUCUAGCUAUGGCGAGAGGGAGACAGCGAGUCGGCGAGAGGGAGAGGCGAGACGACGAGUCGGCGAGAGGGAGAGGCUUGACAACGAGAGGGAGAGGCGAGAGGGCUGACUGCUG